GUGCUCACUUCUGCAGCACAUGUACUAAAGUUGGAACGAUACAGAGAUUAGCAUGGCCCCUGCAGAAGAAUGACACGAAAAUUCGUGAAGCGUUCCAUAUUUUU
rnacentral:snRNA from 1 species